AGUAACGGCGAGUGAAGCGGUAAUAGCUCAAAUUUGAAAUUUGGCCUCUCGGGGUCCGAGUUGUAAUUUGUAGAGGAUGUUUUGGGUACCGCCCCGGUCUAAAUUUCUUGGAACAGAAUGUCAAAGAGGGUGAGAAUCCCGUCUUGGGACCGGGGGUAGGGCCUGUGUAAAACCCCUUCGACGAGUCGAGUUGUUUGGGA
rnacentral:rRNA from 1 species